GAUGAACGCUGGCGGCGUGCCUAAUACAUGCAAGUCGAGCGAACGGACGAGAAGCUUGCUUCUCUGAUGUUAGCGGCGGACGGGUGAGUAACACGUGGAUAACCUACCUAUAAGACUGGGAUAACUUCGGGAAACCGUAGCUAACACCGGAUAAUAUUUUGAACCGCAUGGUUCAAAAGUGAAAGACGGUCUUGCUGUCACUUAUAGAUGGAUCCGCGCUGCAUUAGCUAGUUGGUAAGGUAACGGCUUACCAAGGCAACGAUGCAUAGCCGACCUGAGAGGGUGAUCGGCCACACUGGAACUGAGACACGGUCCAGACUCCUACGGGAGGCAGCAGUAGGGAAUCUUCCGCAAUGGGCGAAAGCCUGACGGAGCAACGCCGCGUGAGUGAUGAAGGUCUUCGGAUCGUAAAACUCUGUUAUUAGGGAAGAACAUAUGUGUAAGUAACUGUGCACAUCUUGACGGUGCCUAAUCAGAAAGCCACGGCUAACUACGUG
rnacentral:rRNA from 1 species